GAUGAACGCUGGCGGCGUGCCUAAUACAUGCAAGUCGAGCGAACGGACGAGAAGCUUGCUUCUCUGAUGUUAGCGGCGGACGGGUGAGUAACACGUGGAUAACCUACCUAUAAGACUGGGAUAACUUCGGGAAACCGGAGCUAAUACCGGAUAAUAUUUUGAACCGCAUGGUUCAAAAGUGAAAGACGGUCUUGCUGUCACUUAUAGAUGGAUCCGCGCUGCAUUAGCUAGUUGGCAAGGUAACGGCUUACCAAGGCAACGAUGCAUAGCCGACCUGAGAGGGUGAUCGGCCACACUGGAACUGAGACACGGUCCAGACUCCUACGGGAGGCAGCAGUAGGGAAUCUUCCGCAAUGGGCGAAAGCCUGACGGAGCAACGCCGCGUGAGUGAUGAAGGUCUUCGGAUCGUAAAACUCUGUUAUUAGGGAAGAACAUAUGUGUAAGUAACUGUGCACAUCUUGACGGUACCUAAUCAGAAAGCCACGGCUAACUACGUGC
rnacentral:rRNA from 1 species